GGGGAUGUAAUGGUUUCGACGGGGUAUUGAAGCCACGAGGUUCGCAGGCCAAUGGUUACGAAGCCUAACUCUUAACCGCUAAAUGUAAUUGACGAAUUCGAUUACGCAUACGCUGCCUAAGCCUUGCGCUUAGCAGCCCCCUCGGUAUCACUAGCUGCGGGCAGGGCUGAGGGUUUCAAAUAAGCGCAGCAGUUUUUCCUUUUUUCGCAAAAGAGGAUGGUGGAGAACUCUGAAUCCCAGAGUUUGCGCUUCUAUGAUGCUGGCAUACUCCAGCUAUUGCGAUAAUGCCUUGUGAUGUGGAUGUAUUUCGGACAGGAGUUCGAUUCUCCUCAUCUCCACCA
rnacentral:tmRNA from 1 species